rnacentral:lncRNA from 1 species
UAUAAUGUUAUUUACUUAUUAUAUAAUUAAUAUGAUAAUCCAAAAAUAUUCUAAAAUUCUUUGAAAAAUACAGCUCAUAAGUACCAAUUAUUUAAUAUUUAUAAUGUAAAACCAGGAAAAUGAGUUACACAAAUGUUAAACACACCCGCGAAAAUCCAAGCACAUGCUAUGCUAGUAGAUGAUAGAGAGGCAGAACGGCAAUAAUAAAGCUAAUGAAGCCAAAAAUGCUGUGCUGAACAAAUGAGGAGAGAUGCCAGCCGCGGCAGAGCCACCGUCUCCGGAGCCGGUAGCCGGAGCUGGACCAGGGGCCAUGUGGUGGUGCUCAUGUCCCGCGUGGGACAUUGCCGCUGAUACCAUUAUCGCAAAGAUCACACAUAUCAUGGCAAAGGAAGCCAUUGACUUUCCGGUUGCCAUUGCUUAUUAUUUAUACGAGAGUUUGUUGUUGCAAUGAAUGAGUCUUAAAACUCUUACAACUGUGG